rnacentral:rRNA from 1 species
GACGAACGCUGGCGGCGUGCUUAACACAUGCAAGUCGAACGGAAAGGCCCCCUUGUGGGGUACUCGAGUGGCGAACGGGUGAGUAACACGUGAGUAACCUACCCUUGACUUUGGGAUAACUUCAGGAAACUGGGGCUAAUACCGGAUAGGAGCUCCUGCUGCAUGGUGGGGGUUGGAAAGUUUCGGCGGUUGGGGAUGGACUCGCGGCUUAUCAGCUUGUUGGUGGGGUAGUGGCUCACCAAGGCGUUGACGGGUAGCCGGCCUGAGAGGGUGACCGGCCACAUUGGGACUGAGAUACGGCCCAGACUCCUACGGGAGGCAGCAGUGGGGAAUAUUGCACAAUGGGCGGAAGCCUGAUGCAGCAACGCCGCGUGCGGGAUGACGGCCUUCGGGUUGUAAACCGCUUUCGCCUGUGACGAAGCGUGAGUGACGGUAAUGGGUAAAGAAGCACCGGCUAACUACGUG